rnacentral:lncRNA from 1 species
UAAAUUUUGUUUUUUGAAUUUUUUUCAAAACUUUCUUUUUGAAUUUUGAAAGUUCUUUUUGAACUAUUAAAAAAAUUAUUUUAAAUUUUUAGUAUUUAUUUAUCUAUACUAUUAAAAGGGAAGCAUUUUAAAAAAAAUCUACUUAUGCAAAGUUGUUUGGACCUAUUACUUAGACUAACACCACAUAAUUCAGCCUAUUUUUAAGCCAAAGUAAUAUUCCAUACAUCAACUCAUAAUUUAUUUAAUGUACAAAAAGAGAUAUUUUAACUAACAAUGAUAUUUUACGUAAAGAUUUUAUUAUUAUUUUAUUAAUACAGAAAAUAACUUAAGGAAAUAGUCAUAACAAACGGAUUAAAAUAACUUAAGGAAAUAGUCAUACCUUUGUAUUACAAA